GUAGCUCAUUUAUAGAGCAUCUGCUUUGCAUGCAGAAGGUGCUAGGUUCAACCCCUGACAUUUCCA